AGGUAAGCUACUAAGAGCGAAUGGUGGAUGCCUUGACUGGUAGAGGCGAUGAAGGACGUACUAGACUGCGAUAAGCUAGGUGGAGCUGUCAAGAAGCUUUGAUGCCUAGAUUUCCGAAUGGGGCAACCCAGUAUAUAGAGAUAUAUACUACCAUAAUGGAGCGAACGAGGGGAAUUGAAACAUCUUAGUACCCUCAGGAAAAGAAAUCAAACGAGAUUGCGUCAGUAGCGGCGAGCGAAAGCGUAAGAGGGCAAACCCAGUGCUUGCACUGGGGGUUGUAGGACUGCAAUGUGCAAGAGGAAAGGUUAGCAGAACACUCUGGAAAGUGUAGCCAUAGAGGGUGAUAGUCCCGUAUGCAAAAACCUAACCUUAGCUAGCAGUAUCCUGAGUAGGGCGGGACACGAGAAAUCCUGUCUGAAGCUGGGUAGACCACUAUCCAACCCUAAAUACUACUACCAGAUCGAUAGCGAACAAGUACCGUGAGGGAAAGGUGAAAAGAACGGCGGUGAGCCGAGUGAAAUAGAACCUGAAACCAUUUGCUUACAAUCAUUCAGAGCACUAUGUAGCAAUACAGUGUGAUGGACUGCCUUUUGCAUAAUGAGCCUGCGAGUUGUGGUGUCUGGCAAGGUUAAGCUAACGCGAAGCCGUAGCGAAAGCGAGUCUGAAUAGGGCGCUAAGUCAGAUGCUGCAGACCCGAAACGAAGUGAUCUAUCCAUGAGCAGGUUGAAGCUAGUGUAAGAACUAGUGGAGGACCGAACCCGCUAGCGUUGAAAAGCUAUGGGAUGACUUGUGGAUAGGGGUGAAAGGCCAAUCAAACUUCGUGAUAGCUGGUUCUCUCCGAAAUAUAUUUAGGUAUAGCGUUGUGUCGUAACUAAAGGGGGUAGAGCACUGAAUGGGCUAGGGCAUACACCAAUGUACCAAACCCUAUCAAACUCCGAAUACCUUUAGUGUAAUCACAGCAGUCAGGCGGCGAGUGAUAAAAUCCGUCGUCAAGAGGGAAACAACCCAGACUAACAGCUAAGGUCCCCAAAUCUUACUUAAGUGGAAAACGAUGUGAAGUUACUUAAACAACCAGGAGGUUGGCUUAGAAGCAGCCAUCCUUUAAAGAAAGCGUAAUAGCUCACUGGUCUAGUGAUUUUGCGCGGAAAAUAUAACGGGGCUAAAGUAAGUACCGAAGCUUUAGACUUGCACACAACUUAGAUGAUUUAAAUUUGGAAUAUGAGAAGCUAAAUUUGUUUUUAUUUAUUUUUGCUUAUCUUUAUUCAUUUUUAUAGAGUAAAGAUAAAAACAAAAACUUCGUAAAAAUAAUAAAAUUUAGUAAAAAACAAUAAAAAUAUUCUUAGAUUAAAAGUUAAGUCGUUUAAGUUGUGUGCAAGUGGUAGGAGAGCGUUCUAUUUGCGUCGAAGGUAUACCGACAAGGAGUGCUGGAGCGAAUAGAAGUGAGCAUGCAGGCAUGAGUAGCGAUAAUUAAUGUGAGAAUCAUUAACGCCGUAAACCCAAGGUUUCCUACGCGAUGCUCGUCAUCGUAGGGUUAGUCGGGUCCUAAGCUGAGUCCGAAAGGGGUAAGCGAUGGCAAAUAGGUUAAUAUUCCUAUACCAACAUUAGUGUGCGAUGGAAGGACGCUUAGGGCUAAGGGGGCUAGC
rnacentral:rRNA from 1 species